rfam:Canis lupus familiaris chromosome 1, whole genome shotgun sequence.
AGGAGGAACAACCCCAGUGGAGGCGGCCAGCUCUGGAGCCCUGGAGUCAGCUCCCGCAGUAACUCCGGAGCUCUCCGUCUGCAGGGCCUGGAGGCUCCGGGGGGGC